CAGUCAUCAGACUUUAGGGUCCACGCUAAAUCCAGGCUGAUGUCAUCUGGGGAUCCUUAACUAACGACGUAGGCAAGGACCCUGGUUCCAAAUAAGGUCAUAUUCGGAGGGCCUGGGUGGACAUGAAUUUCGAGAGCCCCCUUUUUAGUUUUUUUAUUUUUUUACUUUUUGCCUACACCGUGCGGCUUGCGGGAUCUUAGUUCCCCCACCAGGGAUCGAACCCGGGCCCUCAGCAGUGAGAACAUGGAGUCCUAACCACUGGACCACCAGGGAAUUCCUGAGGGACCCCUUUUUAGAGCGCCAAUAGCUUUUCCCCAAGACCAGCCCUUUCACAGCGGCGUCAUCUGUGCGUCCUCAGUGCCAAGCAAUGAUGGAAAUCCGGCCUUCCAAGUCUUCUCGGCCAAUUGGAGCUGCAGCCUCGUACCCCACGGAGCACAGCUCCCGUCCACCACCCAAAGUGGGGAGGAAAACAGUGAAAGCACCGAGUCGUAACCACUGGGCCACCAGGGAAUUCCCGACAUGGACCAUUUAAAGUAAUGAUGGGGGCUUCCCUGGUGGCGCAGUGGUUGGGAGUCCGCCUG